UCACCCAUCCCUAUUCUUUGCUAUAUAGCAGAAAAGGUUCCCACAGUUUUACAGUUUUUUUAGUAGUGUUCACCAUAAGUAAUAGACUACAUUGUAACCUUGUCAGAAGUAAGUAUAUAAAUGGCUGCUAUUUUGCACUACAUAAGUUUAUUUGUAAUUACCAGCAAGGAAGCAAGCACUUAAGAAAGAGAGAGAGAGAGAAUGACAGAGAGAGAGAAUGACAGAGAGAGCAGAAAUGAGUGUUGACCUGGCAGAACAGGAUGAUGAUGAUUCACCAGGAAUUCCAUCAACUAGUUCAACUGGGCGGGUUAGGUCGGCAAUAUUGGAUGGCAGAUACUUUAAGAUUGUGAAACAAACAGAACUGGGCCAAGUUCAAGGCACAAAAAAGAAAAACAUCAUAUCUGGCUCUUUAGCUGCAACAACGAAUUUCAAAGUUCAUUUAAAGAGGAUACACCCUGAAGCACUUCAGGACUAUGAACAACACAAGCAGGAUUUCACAGCCUCAGCAGCAAAGAAAAAGACUCCAGCCAACACCAAAUACAAGCAGAGCAAGUUGUUUGCAGGGUCCUCAGUCACAGUGGUGUCACAAAAAAAGAUUAGAUGAGCUGAUUGUUUCCUAUGUUGUUCAAGGUAUGCAUUCACUCUCAACAGUUGAGCAGAAGGAAUUUAUCGAAUUGAUUCAAGCCCAUAAUCAUCUGUGAUGUCAAGGAGAACACUGUGCAGAAGAAUUGAUUGUGACUUCAAAUCAAAAGUUAGUAGUGUAAAAGACUUGUUGAAAACUACCAAACAUCUUUGUACCACGGCUGACAUCUGGUCCACUAGUGUGUCUAGUUUCAUAGGAGUCACAGCACACUGGGUUCAUAAUGACACAUUGGAACGCCAGUCUGUCACAUUGGCUUUUAAUGAUGGUGAUAAAACAUAACAAAAGUUAAAAAUUA